rnacentral:lncRNA from 1 species
AAAUUUGGGCAGGGAGAUGGAUUAAAUAUGCUUGUUUAGAGGCCAGUGGAACCAGAGGAGGAAUCCUGAUGUUAUGGGAUUCCAGAAUGUGGGAAGGGGAAAUUAUGCAAGUUGGAGCCUAUACUCUCUCUUGUAAAUUCAAAGCUCAGACAAGCAAUUUUGAAUGUCAUAUAACUGGAGUGUAUGCUCCGAAUAGUAAAGUGGAGAGGAGGUUUGUAUGGGAAGAACUGGCUGAUGUAAGAGGCUUGAUGGAUGGUCCAUGGGCUGUUUGUGGUGACUUUAAUGUCUGUAGAUUUCCUUCUGAAAAAAGGGAGUGCAACAGGUUAAACUCAGCAAUGAGAGAGUUCUCAGAAUGCAUUGAAGACAUGGACCUCAUUGAUCUGCAAUUAAGUGGUGGAAGGUAUACCUGGUACAAGGGUGAUAACCAUAUCACAGCAUCCAGGAUAGACAGGAUUAUGGUCUCCACAGAAUGGAAUAAUCUUUUCACCAACAUAAAGCAAACCACUAUGCAAAGAGUGACUUCUGAUCAUGUUCCUAUAGCCUUGUUGUGUGGACAUUGGGAACAAUCUAAAUCCUACUUUAAGUUCGAAAAUUGGUGGCUGAACCAAGAAGGAUUUGUUGAAAGAAUCAAGGUCUGGUGGAAUGAUUUUGAGUUCUAUGGGAAGCCAGAUUACAUCUUAGCAUGCAAACUCAAAGCCC